rnacentral:rRNA from 1 species
CCCGGUGAUCUAGCCAUGGGCAGGUUGAAGGUUGGGUAACACUAACUGGAGGACCGAACCGACUAAUGUUGAAAAAUUAGCGGAUGACUUGUGGCUGGGGGUGAAAGGCCAAUCAAACCGGGAGAUAGCUGGUUCUCCCCGAAAGCUAUUUAGGUAGCGCCUCGUGAAUUCAUCUCCGGGGGUAGAGCACUGUUUCGGCAAGGGGGUCAUCCCGACUUACCAACCCGAUGCAAACUGCGAAUACCGGAGAAUGUUAUCACGGGAGACACACGGCGGGUGCUAACGUCCGUCGUGAAGAGGGAAACAACCCAGACCGCCAGCUAAGGUCCCAAAGUCAUGGUUAAGUGGGAAACGAUGUGGGAAGGCCCAGACAGCCAGGAUGUUGGCUUAGAAGCAGCCAUCAUUUAAAGAAAGCGUAAUAGCUCACUGGUCGAGUCGGCCUGCGCGGAAGAUGUAACGGGGCUAAACCAUGCACCGAAGCUGCGGCAGCGACACUAUGUGUUGUUGGGUAGGGGAGCGUUCUGUAAGCCUGUGAAGGUGGCCUGUGAGGGUUGCUGGAGGUAUCAGAAGUGCGAAUGCUGACAUAAGUAACGAUAAAGCGGGUGAAAAGCCCGCUCGCCGGAAGACCAAGGGUUCCUGUCCAACGUUAAUCGGGGCAGGGUGAGUCGACCCCUAAGGCGAGGCCGAAAGGCGUAGUCGAUGGGAAACAGGUUAAUAUUCCUGUACUUGGUGUUACUGCGAAGGGGGGACGGAGAAGGCUAUGUUGGCCGGGCGACGGUUGUCCCGGUUUAAGCGUGUAGGCUGGUUUUCCAGGCAAAUCCGGAAAACCAAGGCUGAGGCGUGAUGACGAGGCACUACGGUGCUGAAGUGACAAAUGCCCUGCUUCCAGGAAAAGCCUCUAAGCAUCAGGUAACAUCAAAUCGUACCCCAAACCGACACAGGUGGUCAGGUAGAGAAUACCAAGGCGCUUGAGAGAACUCGGGUGAAGGAACUAGGCAAAAUGGUGCCGUAACUUCGGGAGAAGGCACGCUGAUAUGUAGGUGAAGCGACUUGCUCGUGGAGCUGAAAUCAGUCGAAGAUACCAGCUGGCUGCAACUGUUUAUUAAAAACACAGCACUGUGCAAACACGAAAGUGGACGUAUACGGUGUGACGCCUGCCCGGUGCCGGAAGGUUAAUUGAUGGGGUUAGCGGUAACGCGAAGCUCUUGAUCGAAGCCCCGGUAAACGGCGGCCGUAACUAUAACGGUCCUAAGGUAGCGAAAUUCCUUGUCGGGUAAGUUCCGACCUGCACGAAUGGCGUAAUGAUGGCCAGGCUGUCUCCACCCGAGACUCAGUGAAAUUGAACUCGCUGUGAAGAUGCAGUGUACCCGCGGCAAGACGGAAAGACCCCGUGAACCUUUACUAUAGCUUGACACUGAACAUUGAGCCUUGAUGUGUAGGAUAGGUGGGAGGCUUUGAAGUGUGGACGCCAGUCUGCAUGGAGCCGACCUUGAAAUACCACCCUUUAAUGUUUGAUGUUCUAACGUUGGCCCCUAAUCGGGGUUGCGGACAGUGUCUGGUGGGUAGUUUGACUGGGGCGGUCUCCUCCUAAAGAGUAACGGAGGAGCACGAAGGUUGGCUAAUCCUGGUCGGACAUCAGGAGGUUAGUGCAAUGGCAUAAGCCAGCUUGACUGCGAGCGUGACGGCGCGAGCAGGUGCGAAAGCAGGUCAUAGUGAUCCGGUGGUUCUGAAUGGAAGGGCCAUCGCUCAACGGAUAAAAGGUACUCCGGGGAUAACAGGCUGAUACCGCCCAAGAGUUCAUAUCGACGGCGGUGUUUGGCACCUCGAUGUCGGCUCAUCACAUCCUGGGGCUGAAGUAGGUCCCAAGGGUAUGGCUGUUCGCCAUUUAAAGUGGUACGCGAGCUGGGUUUAGAACGUCGUGAGACAGUUCGGUCCCUAUCUGCCGUGGGCGCUGGAGAACUGAGGGGGGCUGCUCCUAGUACGAGAGGACCGGAGUGGACGCAUCACUGGUGUUCGGGUUGUCAUGCCAAUGGCACUGCCCGGUAGCUAAAUGCGGAAGAGAUAAGUGCUGAAAGCAUCUAAGCACGAAACUUGCCCCGAGAUGAGUUCUCCCUGAGACUUAGAGUCUCCUGAAGGAACGUUGAAGACGACGACGUUGAUAGGCCGGGUGUGUAAGCGCAGCGAUGCGUUGAGCUAACCGGUACUAAUGAACCGUGAGGCUUAACC